rnacentral:rRNA from 1 species
GAUGAACGCUGGCGGCGUGCCUAAUACAUGCAAGUCGAGCGAACGGACGAGAAGCUUGCUUCUCUGAUGUUAGCGGCGGACGGGUGAGUAACACGUGGAUAACCUACCUAUAAGACUGGGAUAACUUCGGGAAACCGGAGCUAAUACCGGAUGAUAUUUUGAACCGCAUGGUUCAAAAGUGAAAGACGGUCUUGCUGUCACUUAUCGAUGGAUCCGCGCUGCAUUAGCUAGUUGGUAAGGUAACGGCUUACCAAGGCAACGAUGCAUAGCCGACCUGAGAGGGUGAUCGGCCACACUGGAACUGAGACACGGUCCAGACUCCUACGGGAGGCAGCAGUAGGGAAUCUUCCGCAAUGGGCGAAAGCCUGACGGAGCAACGCCGCGUGAGUGAUGAAGGUCUUCGGAUCGUAAAACUCUGUUAUUAGGGAAGAACAUAUGUGUAAGUAACUGUGCACAUCUUGACGGUACCUAAUCAGAAAGCCACGGCUAACUACGUG